rnacentral:misc_RNA from 1 species
GAUGAAGAACGCAGCGAAAUGCGAUAAGUAAUGUGAAUUGCAGAAUUCAGUGAAUCAUCGAAUCUUUGAACGCACAUUGCGCCCCUUGGUAUUCCGAGGGGCAUGCCUGUUCGAGCGUCAUUUCAACCCUCAAGCACAGCUUGGUCUUGGGCUUCGCCGCUAACCCGGCGGGUCCUAAAAUCAGUGGCGGUGCCGUCGGGCCCUGAGCGCAGUAAUUUCUCUCGCUAUAGGGUCCCGGCGGAUGCUGGCCAGUAACCCCCAAUUUUCUAUGGUUGACCUCGGAUCAGGUAGGGAUACCCGCUGAACUUAAGCAUAUCAAUAAGCGGAGGA